rnacentral:rRNA from 1 species
AAUUCGAUGACAACGCGAAGAACCUUACCUGGUCUUGACAUCCCGGAGACCCUUAGGAAACUAGGGGGUGCUUCCAUCUGGAAGAAUCUGGAGACAGGUGCUGCAUGGCUGUCGUCAGCUCGUGUCGUGAGAUGUUGGGUUAAGUCCCGCAACGAGCGCAACCCUUGCCUUUAGUUGCCAGCAGUUCGGCUGGGCACUCUAAAGGGACUGCCGGUGUUAAACCGGAGGAAGGUGGGGAUGACGUCAAGUCCUCAUGGCCUUUAUGACCAGGGCUACACACGUACUACAAUGGCCGAUACAAAGGGCAGCGACACUGCGAGGUGAAGCCAAUCCCGUAAAAUCGGUCUCAGUCCGGAUUGGAGUCUGCAACUCGACUCCAUGAAGUUGGAAUCGCUAGUAAUCGUGGAUCAGCAUGCCACGGUGAAUACGUUCCCGGGCCUU